rnacentral:rRNA from 1 species
CUCGGGAAACUGAGGCUAAUGCGGAAUAGCGUUCAUCGCCUGGAGUGGCACGAACGCGAAACGUUACGGCGCCAUAGGAUGUGGCUGCGGCCGAUUAGGUAGACGGUGGGGUAACGGCCCACCGUGCCCAUAAUCGGUACGGGUUGUGAGAGCAAGAGCCCGGAGACGGUAUCUGAGACAAGAUACCGGGCCCUACGGGGCGCAGCAGGCGCGAAACCUUUACACUGCACGCGAGUGCGAUAAGGGGACUCCGAGUGCGAGGGCAUAUAGUCCUCGCUUUUCACGACCGUAAGGUGGUCGUAGAAUAAGUGCUGGGCAAGACCGGUGCCAGCCGCCGCGGUAAUACCGGCAGCACAAGUGAUGACCGCUAUUAUUGGGCCUAAAGCGUCCGUAGCUGGCCACGCAAGUCUAUCGGGAAAUCCGCGCGCUUAACGCGCGGGCGUCCGGUGGAAACUGCGUGGCUUGGGACCGGAAGACCAGAGGGGUACGUCCGGGGUAGGAGUGAAAUCCCGUAAUCCUGGACGGACCACCGGUGGCGAAAGCGCCUCUGGAAGACGGAUCCGACGGUGAGGGACGAAAGCUCGGGUCACGAACCGGAUUAGAUACCCGGGUAGUCCGAGCUGUAAACGAUGUCUGCUAGGGUGUUUGGCCCAGGCUACGAGCCUGUGCUGUGCCGUAGGGAAGCCGUGAAGCAGACCGCCUGGGAAGUACGUCCGCAAGGAUGAAACUUAAAGGAAUUGGCGGGGGAGCACUACACCGGGAGGAGCCUGCGGUUUAAUUGGACUCAACGCCGGACAUCUCACCAGCAUCGACAAUGUGCAGUGAACGUCAGGUUGAUGACCUUACUGGAGCCAUUGAGAGGAGGUGCAUGGCCGCCGUCAGCUCGUACCGUGAGGCGUCCUGUUAAGUCAGGCAACGAGCGAGACCCGCACUCCUAAUUGCCAGCAACACCCUCGUGGUGGUUGGGUACAUUAGGAGGACUGCCAGUGCCAAACUGGAGGAAGGAACGGGCAACGGUAGGUCAGUAUGCCCCGAAUGUGCUGGGCGACACGCGGGCUACAAUGGCCGAGACAGUGGGAUGCAACCCCGAAAGGGGACGCUAAUCUCCGAAACUCGGUCGUAGUUCGGAUUGAGGGCUGAAACUCGCCCUCAUGAAGCUGGAUUCGGUAGUAAUCGCGCCUCAGAAGGGCGCGGUGAAUACGUCCCUGCUCCUUGCACACAC